rnacentral:lncRNA from 1 species
CGAAGGCUCCAAAGUAUUUUGGUAAGCAACUAUAAUCACGAGUACAUGUUAUAUAGUAAAACGGAUUACCCCUUGUUUGGUUCUUAUGUUUUGUACUGAAUAUUCCCACUAAUAUGCUCAUCUAAUCGAUUUCACAAUGAUAUUUUUGGCGCCGUGAAGCAUCUAAAUGGUAUGUAUGAGCAGGUUCCCGGAACUAGUGGUGAAUCUUCU